GACGAACCGUGCGAACGUUAUUCGGAAUCACUGGGCUUAAAGCGUGUGUAGGCGGAUCGGUAAGUACCUUGUGAAAUCCCACAGCUUAACUGUGGAACUGCUUGGUAUACUGCCAGUCUUGAGCCAGCUAGGGGCUACCGGAACAAAUGGUGGAGCGGUGAAAUGCGUAGAUAUCAUUUGGAACGCCAAUGGUGAAAACAGGUAGCUGGGGCUGUGCUGACGCUGAGACACGAAAGCCAGGGGAGCGAACGGG
rnacentral:rRNA from 1 species